UUCACCCUUUUUUUCCCCCACCCCCUAUUUUUUCUCCUUUGUACCAUGUCAUCCCCCUUUUCUUCUCCCUCUUGUUUUUUUUCUCUCUCUUUUCUCUUUGCACCACACCAUCUGCCGCUGCACCCACGACAAUACUCAUGACACCACGCCAUCAGCUGUUCGGUGCUGCUAUCGAGCCCACGACUGGUGGGCUACUACACUUUCGUCGUUGCACGAUUCAGUUUUGACAUGCCUUGCAGAGAAUGAAAGAACUGCAAGAUCCCAAGGAAGAAAAAAUACUUCGCUUGAGUAUAGAAAUUGGGGGGUGUUCUGGAUCUCAAUAUGUUUUCGAUUUGGAUGGCAAAACCAACUUGAUGAUAGGGUGUAUGAGAAGGAGGGAGUUAAAUUGAUAGUUGAGAAUAUCUCAUACUAUUUUGUAAAAGGAGCAACUAUUGAUUAUGUUGAAGAGCUGAUUUGUUUUGCUUUUAGUGAAACGUAUCUCUCAUUAUUGCUAACUCA